UACGUAGGGCGCAAGCGUUAUCCGGAAUUAUUGGGCGUAAAGAGGUCGUAGGCGGUUUGUCGCGUCUGCCGUGAAAGUCCGGGGCUCAACUCCGGAUCUGCGGUGGGUACGGGCAGACUAGAGUGAUGUAGGGGAGACUGGAAUUCCUGGUGUAGCGGUGAAAUGCGCAGAUAUCAGGAGGAACACCGAUGGCGAAGGCAGGUCUCUGGGCCACUACUGACGCUGAGAAGCGAAAGCAUGGGGAGCGAACAGG
rnacentral:rRNA from 1 species